rnacentral:lncRNA from 1 species
GUAAAAGGAUUUUCAAAAGGGCCCUUUGUUUGCUCUGUUGCUAAGCUCCUGUUUUUGUUAAAUGUCCUACUGAGCUCUGCCCACUUCAUUCUUUUUGUUAAGACUAAAGGCGCUCGUUACCAAGCAGCCCUUAUUGUGUGCUGUGUCUCUAAUCCACCUUUGUGCCACUGUCUGCAGCUUUCUCCUGGGGCCAUAAGAACAAACUAGUUCAAACUCUGUGGAUGUAAACUCUAUAGAAGUGACAGGUCAGGACAUAUCUCCAGGAAAUUCAAGGUAAGCCAGUACCUUUGUUGUCAGGAUGGCUCCAUAUAGUUUGUCGCAGCCACUGUCCUCAGUCUCCUUUGAGGAAAAAAUGAAAUUCUCUGCAAGCCAGUCUCUCUCUUUUGCAAGAAGCAAAUGGUUCGCACUCCCACAGACUGAGAGUCAAAGCGUCGUGUGGAGCAUCAAACCACCAGAUUUCUCUCUGAAGCUGUACAGAUCUCUGUCAGAUCCUCAAAAGAAAGACAGAAAUACACAUUCAAAUCCAGUUGUACUGCACAAUAAUGAAACAAAGAGGAGAACUGGAGUACUUCUACCAAAGAUUUUACAUGAGAGUUACCAAAGGGAAAAUCCUCCAAAGUUCAUCACAUCCUACAAGCCUCCUGAUGCUCUGGAAUCUGAGCUGAUGUUUGUCAAGACGGGGAAGUUCCCAUCUGGAUCUUACAAGAACCCCAAACCUCAUGACUUCAGACAGUUCGGGCAACUAGAUCCGAGUCAGACUUCAGUUCAAGAGACACCAAGAAAAGAAUGGACACCUUUAAACCUGCAGAGCCCAGAUGGGAUGCGAGACUCGUCCUUCCUCAGCCAACCUGGCCUCCAAAAUCAGCUUCCUACACCAGGCACCGACGAAGAAGAGGAGCAUACAGCGCAUUCUUGGACCGUGUGGAGGAGAAACUCUCAAGAUCAUGGAAAAAUAGAUCAUGACUGUCUCUUCUUAAAUUCAUCUUUGAAAAUGAUUUUUUACAUGUGCAUGCUUGACUUUACCAAUAUGGUGUACUGUUGA